rnacentral:rRNA from 1 species
CAUUAUCUUCCCAUAGGACAGAGCUUUACGACCCGAAGGCCUUCAUCGCUCACGCGGCGUUGCUGCAUCAGGCUUUCGCCCAUUGUGCAAUAUUCCCCACUGCUGCCUCCCGUAG